rnacentral:lncRNA from 1 species
AACAAUGUUACAUGGAUUAUCAACACAUUGGCAAUAUAUAAAGAUAACUAGUGUAGUUAUUCGCACAAUGCAGCGGACAGAUAUUAUCGAAGCGAUUUUUUAUCAUUGUUGAUCACCGAUGAUAAGUCUGAAAUUGUAUAUAUAUCAAAAAAAAAUACGGUGAAGAGAUGCAGAAAGAAAAAAAGAGAGAAAGAAAUAGAGGAAAAUAAAGAAAUGACAAAAUAAUUUAAAUAAAAUUAUUAGCCAGAUUAAUAAUUUAAUUAAUUUAAAUAAAAAUAAUUUAAAUAAAAUUAGCUCAAGUUGCUAUAAAAUUUUCAUAUAUAAACAUUAAUAUGAUUUAAAUUGUAUUUGUUGAAUUAGAUUUUAAUUGUAUAAUAGUAAAUUUUUUAAAAUUAUUCAGUGUAUAUAUAAAAUUAUAAAUUAGGGUAAGCAAUUAUUUAUAACAUAUAUACAAAUCCUAUAAAAAAAAUACAUAGGGUAGUUAAAAAAAAAUAUUUCUAUCAGCUUAUUGUUUAACAAAUUUGCAUACAUCUAAAUAACUAUAAAAUAAAUUGAAAAAAGCUAAUAGAUAGGGUAGUUAAAAAAAAAAGACAUUAAAAAAAAACAAAAUACAAAAAUUUCUGAUCACUUGAUUAUCAACAUAUAUACUAUCAGUAAUCAGUUGAUUAUAUAUCCAUACACUCUCUUCCACUUCUGUCGUCACUGCCGCCGCCGCCGCAUCCAAGAUCUUCAUCUUCUACCACCACUGCCAUCCCCACCAAAUACACGACGGGAUCGCGUCAGUGAUGAAAGCGAGCGACUUUUACGGGAGAGGGAGAGGUUGAAAAAGAUUUAGCAAAAGUAGAAGAACGAAAAGAUUAAUGGAGACAUAGGGAGAAGAAAAAAUUAAUUAUUAAUUAAUUACAAUAAUAAAUAGAGAGAAGGUGGGGUUAUUGGAAGGUAAAGAGGCGGACGUUAAAGAAGAUGAGAAGAGUUAGAACUAUUGGAAGGUGAGAAAGUCUACGGUGAAGAAAAUGAAAAAAAAAAUAAUUAAAAAAUAAAAUAAAAUAAUUUAAAAAAUAUAAAAAAAUGAGAGCUUGCCAUGUCAUCAUUUGAUAUUGGGGAUUCAUAUAAGAGUAUAGAUACUAUAGGAGUAUUAGGAGACUGAUAGUAAAACUCAUCAGAAAAGCCUUUUUUAUAUUUUAGUUUGUGUCUUAAUUAUCUUUUAUAUAUAUAUAUAGAGUGAGGCUACUAUGCUAUCGGAAGCACGGAGCCUUCCGUGCUUCCAACUCGUUUUCGAUGUUGCGAUUUUUGAAUCGUCGAUCGGCUCCGUUAAACUUGAUCUACAGUAUUUGAAGUACCUAGAAAAUAAAUUUUAUGAUUUUACGAUAUCAUUUGCCUAGUGAACGAAAGGGCUCAAAAUCAACGGCUGAAAAUAAAAAUCUUACAAAAUAUAAUAAUAUGACAUUAAAAUUUUAAAUCAAAGAUAUUGAUCUUGUUUUAUAUAGUAUAAAAAAUUUUCUAUCAAAAUUUCACGUGAUUUGAAUAUUUUUACACCGUUAAACUUGCAAACGGCUCACUACGGCCAUUGAAAUUUGUUGAUUUUGAGCUCAUUCGAUCACUAGGCAAAUGGUAUCGAAAAAUAAUAAAAUUUAUUUUCUAGGUACUCCAAAUACUCUAGAUUAAGUUUAACGGAGCCGAUCGACGAUUCGAAAGUCGCAACAUUGAAAACAAGCUGGAAGUACGGAAGGCUCCGUGCUUCCGAUAGCAUAGUAGCCUCACUCUCUCUCUCUCUCUCUCUCUCUCUCUCUCUCUCUCUCUCUCUCUCUCUCUCUCUCUCUCUCUCUCUCUCUCUCUCUCUCUCUCUCUAUAUAUAUAUAUAUAUAUAUAUAUAUAAUUGCUCUAAUAUUUAUUCUACACUUCACCACUGCAUUAUAAAAUUUAAAUUUUGAAAUAAUUGUUAAAUUUUGUUUUUUUUUUAUUUCAAUAAUAUCUUAUGGAAUUAAUAUUUACUAUUAAAAAUGUCAUGUCCCGGAUUACACGUUUUUCCGGGCACGCCGACAUUUCGGUAAAUUUCAACCCACCUUAAAACGUUCGUCCAACAACGGCGAGAAGUCGAAAGGAGAGGAAAUCCGGCACUCGCCCGACCUCUAACGGCGCUACCACGACGCACGCACGCUCGAACGGCUCUCCGGCGCAACAUCGACGUCGAUCCGAGCUCCAACCGUAGCCUCCACCAAGCACAUAACUAAAACUAGAGAGAGAGAGGAGAAGGAUAAUUAAGCUCCCUCACUGCCUCUCUAUCCUAAUUAAAGCGGUGGGGAUAAAAUUGAAAGGAUCAAGGCAACAAAAGACCAAAAGGCCCCUCACAUACUCAAACGGCCUUUCAGCCCGCAAGUUCGCACACAGGGUACCGGUAUUCUACACUGAAAUCCUGUACUUUGCAGAUUUCAAUAUUAAAACUCUACUCCCGCGUCGCACUGUAUCCGUUUUGCGUCUAUUUCGCGCCAGAACGACUCCGAUUUGUCCCGACACUCUCCAGAUGUGUCGACAAAUCUCAGAUGCUGAAAUCUCACAGACAACCCCAAAAACUAGGGGUACCAUAAAAAAUAAUGAAAUUUAAGUCCAUAUUAUUAUUAU